GAUGAACGCUGGCGGCGUGCCUAAUACAUGCAAGUCGAACGAAACUUCUUUAUCACCGAGUGCUUGCACUCACCGAUAAAGAGUUGAGUGGCGAACGGGUGAGUAACACGUGGGCAGCCUGCCCAAAAGAGGGGGAUAACACUUGGAAACACGUGCUAAUACCGCAUAACCAUAGUUACCGCAUGGUAACUAUGUAAAAGGUGGCUAUACUACCGCUUUUGGAUGGGCCCGCGGCGCAUUAGCUAGUUGGUAGGGUAAAGGCUUACCAAGGCAAUGAUGCGUAGCCGAAUUGAGAGGUUGAUCGGCCACAUUGGGACUGAGACACGGCCCAAACUCCUACGGGAGGCAGCAGUAGGGAAUCUUCCACAAUGGGCGAAAGCCUGAUGGAGCAACGCCGCGUGGGUGAAGAAGGUCUUCGGAUCGUAAAACCCUGUUGUUAGAGAAGAAAGUGCGUGAGAGUAACUGUUCACGUUUCGACGGUAUCUAACCAGAAAGCCACGGCUAACUACGUG
rnacentral:rRNA from 1 species